rnacentral:rRNA from 1 species
AUGGCUCGAACCAGGUGUACAGCUCGUAACUCCACUGGAAGGAAGACUCCUACCAAGAACCUUAGGGCUUUCUAUGCCGCCGCUCGUAAAACGGCUCCAGCAACUGGAGGAGUCAACCGCAAAAAUAAAAAGAAAAAAAACUGGAGGAGUCAAGAAGUCCCGCAGAUAUCGCCCUGGAACUGUUGCUCUUCGUGCUCUUGUAGCGAAAUUCGCAAGUAUCAGAAGGGCAGCGAGUUGCUCAUAAGGAAGCUACCUUUUCAAAGGCUCGUCAGGGAGAUCGCUCAAGUUUUCAAGAUUGAUCUGCGUUUCCAGAGCCAUGCAGUGCUUGCUUUGCAGGAGGCAGCUGAAGCAUACCUUGUGGGACUAUUUGAGGACACCAAUCUAUGUGCCGUCCAUGCGAAGCACGUGACUAUUAUGUCCAAAGAUGUUCAUCUGGCUAGGAGGAUCCGUGGCGAGAGGAUGUAA